GCUUGUCUCAAAGAUUAAGCCAUGCAUGUCUCAGCAUAAGCUUCAACACGGUGAAACUGCAAAUGGCUCAUUAAAGCAGUUACAAUUUAUUUGAUGGUCACUGUUACAUGGAUAACUGUGGUAAUUCUAGAGCUAAUACAUGCAAAGAACCCGACUUACGGAGGGUUGUAUUUAUUAGAUAAAAACCAAUGCCUCGUGCUUUUGGUGAGUCAUGAUAACUGCGCGGAUCGCAUGGCCUUGCGCCGGCGACGCUUCAUUCAAAUUUCUGCCCUAUCAACUUUCGAUGGUAAGAUAGAGGCUUACCAUGGUGUUAACGGGUAACGGGGAAUUGGGGUUCGAUUCCGGAGAGGGAGCCUGAGAAAUGGCUACCACUUCCAAGGAAGGCAGCAGG
rnacentral:rRNA from 1 species